rnacentral:rRNA from 1 species
GUCCAUGCCGUAAACGAUGUCUACUAGCCGUUGGGGUCUUUGAGACUUUAGUGGCGCAGCUAACGCGAUAAGUAGACCGCCUGGGGAGUACGGCCGCAAGGUUAAAACUCAAAUGAAUUGACGGGGGCCCGCACAAGCGGUGGAGCAUGUGGUUUAAUUCGAUGCAACGCGAAGAACCUUACCUGGCCUUGACAUAGUAGAAACUUUCCAGAGAUGGAAAGGUGCCUUCGGGAAUCUACAUACAGGUGCUGCAUGGCUGUCGU